AGUUUGUGAAUCUUCCACAAUGGGCGAAAGCCUGAUGGAGCAACGCCGCUUGAGUGAAGAAGGAUUUCGGUUCGUAAAACUCUGUUGUAAGGGAAGAACAAGUACAGUAGUAACUGGCUGUACCUUGACGGUACCUUAUUAGAAAGCCACGGCUAACUACGUGCCAGCAGCCCCGCGGUAAUACGUAGGUGGCAAGCGUUGUCCGGAAUUAUUGGGCGUAAAGCGCGCGCAGGUGGUUUCUUAAGUCUGAUGUGAAAGCCCACGGCUCAACCGUGGAGGGUCAUUGGAAACUGGGAGACUUGAGUGCAGAAGAGGAUAGUGGAAUUCCAAGUGUAGCGGUGGAAU
rnacentral:rRNA from 1 species